rnacentral:rRNA from 1 species
UGGGGAAUAUUGGACAAUGGGUGAAAGCCUGAUCCAGCAAUGCCGCGUGAGUGAUGAAGGCCUUCGGGUUGUAAAGCUCUUUUACCAGGGAUGAUAAUGACAGUACCUGGAGAAUAAGCUCCGGCUAACUCCGUGCCAGCAGCCGCGGUAAUACGGAGGGAGCUAGCGUUGUUCGGAAUUACUGGGCGUAAAGCGCGCGUAGGCGGUUACUCAAGUCAGGGGUGAAAUCCCGGAGCACAACCCCGGAACUGCCCUUGAAACUAGGUAACUAGAAUCUUGGAGAGGCGAGUGGAAUUCCGAGUGUAGAGGUGAAAUUCGUAGAUAUUCGGAAGAACACCAGUGGCGAAGGCGGCUCACUGGCUCGGUACUGACGCUGAGGUGCGAAAGCGUGGGGAGCAAACAGGAUUAGAUACCCGUGUAGUCC